UCUGGUAAUGAUGGCAGAGAGGUCACACCCGUUUCCAUACCGAACACGGAAGUUAAGCUCUCUAGCGCCGAUGGUAGUUGGGACCUUGUCCCUGUGAGAGUAGGACGUUGCCAGGC
rnacentral:rRNA from 3 species